GGAAGCAAUGUGGCUCCUGUGUGUGGCGGCGGCGGUCUUGGCAUGGGGCUUCCUCUGGGUUUGGGACUCCUCAGAACGAAUGAAGAGUCGGGAGCAAGGAGGACGGCUGGGAGCCGAAAGCCGGACCCUCCUGGUCAUAGCGCACCCUGACGAUGAAGCCAUGUUUUUUGCUCCCACAGUGCUAGGCUUGGCCCGCCUAAGGCACUGGGUGUACCUGCUCUGCUUCUCUGCAGGAAAUUACUACAAUCAAGGAGAGACUCGUAAGAAAGAACUUUUGCAGAGCUGUGAUGUUUUGGGGAUUCCACUCUCCAGUGUAAUGAUUAUUGACAACAGGGAUUUCCCAGAUGACCCAGGUGUGCAGUGGGACACAGAGCACGUGGCCAGAGUCCUCCUCCAGCACAUAGAAGUGAAUGGCAUCAAUCUGGUGGUGACUUUCGAUGCAGGGGGAGUAAGUGGCCACAGCAAUCACAUUGCUCUGUAUGCAGCUGUGAGGGCCCUGCACUCAGAAGGGAAGUUACCUAAAGGGUGCUCUGUGCUCAUGCUUCAGUCUGUGAAUGUGCUGCGCAAGUACAUCUCCCUUCUGGAUCUGCCCUUGUCUCUGCUUCAUACUCAGGAUGUCCUCUUUGUGCUCAACAGCAAAGAAGUGGCACAGGCCAAGACGGAGUUUCGCUCUGUUGCCAGGCUGGAGUGCAGUGGC
rnacentral:sRNA from 1 species